UUGAUGUUCUAACGUGGACCCGUUACCCGGGUUGCGGACAGUGUCUGGUGGGUAGUUUGACUGGGGCGGUCUCCUCCUAAAGAGUAACGGAGGAGCACGAAGGUUGGCUAAUCCUGGUCGGACAUCAGGAGGUUAGUGCAAUGGCAUAAGCCAGCUUGACUGCGAGCGUGACGGCGCGAGCAGGUGCGAAAGCAGGUCAUAGUGAUCCGGUGGUUCUGAAUGGAAGGGCCAUCGCUCAACGGAUAAAAGGUACUCCGGGGAUAACAGGCUGAUACCGCCCAAGAGUUCAUAUCGACGGCGGUGUUUGGCACCUCGAUGUCGGCUCAUCACAUCCUGGGGCUGAAGUAGGUCCCAAGGGUAUGGCUGUUCGCCAUUUAAAGUGGUACGCGAGCUGGGUUUAGAACGUCGUGAGACAGUUCGGUCCCUAUCUGCCGUGGGCGCUGGAGAACUGAGGGGGGCUGCUCCUAGUACGAGAGGACCGGAGUGGACGCAUCACUGGUGUUCGGGUUGUCAUGCCAAUGGCACUGCCCGGUAGCUAAAUGCGGAAGAGAUAAGUGCUGAAAGCAUCUAAGCACGAAACUUGCCCCGA
rnacentral:rRNA from 2 species